GACGUAGGGUCCGAGCGUUGUCCGGAUUUACUGGGCGUAAAGAGCGCGUAGGCGGUCCGUUAAGUGUAGAGUGAAAGCUCCGGGCUCAACCCGGAAAUUGCUCUGCAUACUGGCGGACUCGAGGGUGGCAGAGGUUUGUGGAAUUCCUGGUGUAGCGGUGAAAUGCGUAGAGAUCCGGAAGAACACCGGUGGCGAAGGCGGCCUGCUGGGCUAUGGCUGACACUGAGGCGCGACAGCGUGGGGAGCAAACAGG
rnacentral:rRNA from 1 species